UUUUGGUGAGCCUAAGGCUCUAGGAUUCCUAAUACCAAGAAUGAGACUUUUCCUGAAAGUUUGCAUCCCUUCUGGAAUUGGCUGAGAUCACUCCAAGUUUCUUACUGAGACAUCCUUAAAGGCCAAAUAGGAAGCCAGAGGGCAAGAGGAGGCCUGUUGAUGUGAUGCAUAUAGGAAUGAUUCAGAUUAGAGAACUGCUGAGCCUUGGGGUGCUGGACGGUGGAAUUCAGCUUCUAUGACUCUACAAUGACUUGAGCACCUCAUUCUCUCUCUUCGUUACAUCAGCAGAGCCUAGCGACCACCAACGAAUUCUGCAACCUUUGUAGUUACUAUUUUCAAGUGCCAGAAGUAUUAAACAGAACCAAUGAGAUUCUAAAACUACUUCACAUUGUGGAAUAUAAUGCCGUGUGGAACACACCAUGAGAAUGAAGUAAACAGCCCAUUUCUGUGAAUGGCUAACUUUCCUUGUUUUAUAUGAUCCUUGUCACCCUGUUUCUAGUCAUUAGCAUGGGCCAGUGAACAUGAACUAUGUGCUGAUCAACUUUUUU
rnacentral:lncRNA from 1 species